rnacentral:rRNA from 1 species
AUUGAACGCUGGCGGCAGGCCUAACACAUGCAAGUCGAACGAGUGGCGGACGGGUGAGUAAUGUCUGGGAAACUGCCUGAUGGAGGGGGAUAACUACUGGAAACGGUAGCUAAUACCGCAUACCAUCGGAUGUGCCCAGAUGGGAUUAGCUAGUAGGUGGGGUAAAGGCUCACCUAGGCGACGAUCCCUAGCUGGUCGGAGAGGAUGACCAGACAAACUGGAACUGAGACACGGUCCAGACUCCUACGGGAGGCAGCAGUGGGGAAUAUUGGACAAUGGGCGCAAGCCUGAGAGAGCCAUGCCGCGUGUAUGAAGAAGGCCUUCGGGUUGUAAAGUACUUUCAGCGGGGAGGCGUUACCCGAAGAAGAAGCAACGGCUAACUCCGUGCCAGCAGCCGCGGUAAUAC